rnacentral:rRNA from 1 species
ACGAACGCUGGCGGCAUGCCUAACACCUGCCAGUCGAACGAGACCUUCGGGUCUAGUGGCGCACGGGUGCGUAACGCGUGGGAACCUGCCCUUAGGUUCGGAAUAACUCCCCGAAAGGGGUGCUAAUACCGGAUAAUGUCUUCGGACCAAAGAUUUAUCGCCUUUGGAUGGGCCCGCGUUGGAUUAGCUAGUUGGUAGGGUAAAAGCCUACCAAGGCGACGAUCCAUAGCUGGUCUGAGAGGAUGAUCAGCCACACUGGGACUGAGACACGGCCCAGACUCCUACGGGAGGCAGCAGUGGGGAAUAUUGGACAAUGGGCGAAAGCCUGAUCCAGCAAUGCCGCGCGAGUGAUGAAGGCCUUAGGGUUGUAAAGCUCUUUUACCCGGGAUGAUAAUGACAGUACCGGGAGAAUAAGCUCCGGCUAACUCCGUG